UGUGUUUUUGUAGAGAAGGUUUCACCAUGUUAGGCUGGUUUACGUUUUCUUUUAGAAGUUUUAUAUUUUUGGCUCUUAUAUUUAGUUUGUGAUCCAUUGAGUUGAUUUUAUGUAUGUAUGUAUGGUCGCGUUUUCUUUCCUGUCUUUUUUGCAUAUGGAUAUUCAAUUCUUCUAGCUCCAUUUAAUUUGAAAUGAUUGGGCAGGUACCUUUGAGCAGUGCCAAGUACAGAGCGGCACUGCCAGCAGACUACACGCGGUAGAAAGCCGACCUUGGUGAGCGUGUUGGUGCUCGACAGUAAGCAGAGAAAGGAUGGACAAUUACGGAGCGCCGUCGUGUCCAGUCACCGCUUUCUGGAAACACCGUCCGCCGGGGCGGAGCUGUUCCGCACCGGGGCGGUACUACGACUCCCAGCAUGCACCUCGCAGCCGGCCCUCGGUGGAAGCGGGAAGCCAGGCGGACCUGGGGGUGUGGCAGCGAGGAAGGGUGGAGCCACGGACUGUAGGGCCGAAACUGGCUCCCGCCCACCCUUUCUCGAGGCUGUGGCCUCCGCGAGGGCCGAGCGGGCCGCACCGCCGGCCGUGCGACUGCCCCAGUCAGACACGGUCCCCGCUUCUAGCCCGCCUAAGCCUAUCUGGGGUUGCUGACUCGUUUCCUCCCCGAGUUUCCCGCGGGAACUAACUUAAAGAGGACCAACCGCAGCCCAGAGCUUCGCAGGCCCGGCCAACCAGAGGCGAGGUUGAGAGCCGGGCGGGCCGCGGGGAGAGAGUGUCCCAUCUGUCCUGGAAAGCCUGGGCGGGUGGAUUGGGACCCCGAGGGAAGCAGGGGAGCUCGGCGGGGUGCGGAAGUGCCCAGGCCCCUUCCCGCUGGGGUUGGGAGUUUGGGCGGGCCAGCUUCAUCCUUCCGAAGUCCGCCUCAGGUCUCCGGGCCCAGCCUCGGCCACCAUGUCCCGCCAGACCACCUCUGUGGGCUCCAGCUGCCUAGACCUGUGGAGGGAAAAGAAUGACCGGCUCGUUCGACAGGCCAAGGUAGCUCAGAACUCCGGUCUGAUUCUGAGGCGACAGCAGUUGGCUCAGGAUGCACUGGAAGGGCUCAGAGGGCUCCUCCAUAGUCUGCAAGGGCUCCCUGCAGCUGUUUCUGUUCUUCCCUUGGAGCUGACUGUCACCUGCAACUUCAUUAUCCUGAGAGCAAGCUUGGCCCAGGGUUUCACAGAGGAUCAGGCCCAGGAUAUCCAGCGGGGCCUAGAGAGAGUGCUGGAGACACAGGAGCAGCGGGGGCCCAGGUUGGAACAGGGACUCAGGGAGCUGUGGGACUCUGUCCUUCGUGCUUCCUGCCUUCUGCCGGAGCUGCUGUCUGCCCUGCACCGCCUGGCUGGUCUGCAGGCUGCCCUCUGGUUGAGCGCUGACCGUCUUGGGGACCUGGCCUUGUUGCUAGAGACCCUGAAUGGCAGCCAGAGUGGAGCCUCUGAGGAUCUGCUGUUACUUCUGAAAACUUGGAGUCCCCAAGCUGAGGAAUUAGAUGCUCCAUUGACCCUGCAGGAUGCCCAGGGAUUGAAGGAUGUCCUCUUAACAGCAUUUGCCUACCGCCAAGGUCUCCAGGAGCUGAUCACAGGGAACCCAGACAAGGCACUAAGCAGCCUUCAUGAAGUGGUCUCAGGCCUGUGUCCACGGCCUGUGUUGGUCCAGGUGUACACAGCACUGGGGUCCUGUCACCGUAAGAUGGGAAAUCCACAGAGAGCACUGUUGUACUUGGUUGCAGCCCUGAAAGAGGGAUCAGCCUGGGGUCCUCCACUUCUGGAGGCCUCUAGGCUCUAUCAGCAACUGGGGGACACAACAGCAGAGCUGGAGAGUCUGGAGCUGCUAGUUGAGGCCUUGAAUGUCCCCUGCAGUUCCAAAGCCCCACAGUUUCUCAUUGAGGUAGAAUUACUACUGCCACCACCUGACCUAGCCUCACCCCUUCAUUGUGGCACUCAGAGCCAGACCAAGCACAUACUAGCAAGCAGGUGCCUACAGACGGGGAGGACAGGAGACGCUGCAGAGCAUUACUUGGACCUGCUGGCCCUGUUGCUGGAUAGCUUGGAGCCAAGGUUCUCCCCACCCCCAUCCCCUCCAGGGCCCUGUAUGCCUGAGGUGUUUUUGGAGGCAGCGGUAGCACUGAUCCAGGCAGGCAGAGCCCAAGAUGCCUUGACUGUAUGUGAGGAGUUGCUGAGCCGCACAUCAUCUCUGCUACCCAAGAUGUCCCGGCUGUGGGAAGAUGCCAGAAAAGGAACCAAGGAACUGCCAUACUGCCCACUCUGGGUCUCUGCCACCCACCUGCUUCAGGGCCAGGCCUGGGUUCAACUGGGUGCCCAAAAAGUGGCAAUUAGUGAAUUUAGCAGGUGCCUCGAGCUGCUCUUCUGGGCCACACCUGAGGAAAAAGAACAAGGGGCAGCUUUCAACUGUGAGCAGGGAUGUAAGUCAGAUGUGGCACUGCAGCAGCUUCGGGCAGCCGCCCUAAUUAGUCGUGGACUGGAAUGGGUGGCCAGCGGCCAGGAUACCAAAGCCUUACAGGACUUCCUCCUCGGUGUGCAGAUGUGCCCAGACUCUGAAGAGGCUAGAUCGGAGGGAUGAGGCCACUGCACUCUGGUGGAGGCUGGAGGCCCAAACUAAGGGGCCACAGGAAGAUGCUAUGUGGUCUCUCCCCCUGUACCUAGAAAGCUAUUUGAGCUGGAUCCGUCCCUCUGAUCGUGACGCCUUCCUUGAAGAAUUUCGGACAUCUCUGCCAAAGUCUUGUGACCUGUAGCUGCCACGUUUCGAAGAGCUUGAGCUGGGACCCCAGUGGGCUGUCUCUCUAGGGGGAGGGCUUUCUGCUUCACCAUCAUUAGGAAUGUGACCAUUCCUAUAUAAUUCCUGGACUGGUGAGGUUGGUGGUAGGCCUGUGAAAUUUGCCCUAGUUACUACCAUUCUGGUUUUGGAGGAAACAAUCUCUGCCACCACCAAGUCAUUGACUUUGCUCGAGGCACCUUUUUUCCUGUUUCCCCUUUACUGUUGUCAAGUAAAAUUUCAUAUUUAUCUCU